rnacentral:rRNA from 1 species
UACGUAGGUGACCAGCGUUGUCCGGAUUUACUGGGCGUAAAGAGCGCGCAGGCGGUCGUUCAAGUCGAGUGUGAAAGCCCCCGGCUCAACUGGGGAGGGUCACUCGAUACUGAUCGACUUGAAGGCAGGAGAGGGAAGCGGAAUUCCCGGUGUAGUGGUGAAAUGCGUAGAUAUCGGGAGGAACACCGGUGGCGAAGGCGGGUCUCUGGGCAACAACUGACGCUGAGGAGCGAAAGCGUGGGGAGCGAACAGG